rnacentral:rRNA from 1 species
ACGGGAGGCAGCAGUAGGGAAUCUUCGGCAAUGGGGGGAACCCUGACCGAGCAACGCCGCGUGAGUGAAGAAGGUUUUCGGAUCGUAAAGCUCUGUUGUCAGAGAAGAACGUUGUGUAGAGUGGAAAGUUACACAAGUGACGGUAACUGACCAGAAAGGGACGGCUAACUACGUGCCAGCAGCCGCGGUAAUACGUAGGUCCCGAGCGUUGUCCGGAUUUAUUGGGCGUAAAGGGAGCGCAGGCGGCUGUAUAAGUCAGAAGUCAAAGGCAUUGGCUUAACCAAUGUAUGCUUUUGAAACUGUACGGCUUGAGUUCAGAAGGGGAGAGUGGAAUUCCAUGUGUAGCGGUGAAAUGCGUAGAUAUAUGGAGGAACACCGGUGGCGAAAGCGGCUCUCUGGUCUGAGACUGACGCUGAGGCUCGAAAGCGUGGGUAGCGAACAGGAUUAGAUACCCUGGUA